rnacentral:rRNA from 1 species
GUCGGAUUAGCUUGUUGGUGAGGUAACGGCUCACCAAGGCGACGAUCCGUAGCUGGUCUGAGAGGAUGAUCAGCCACACUGGGACUGAGACACGGCCCAGACUCCUACGGGAGGCAGCAGUGGGGAAUAUUGGACAAUGGGCGCAAGCCUGAUCCAGCCAUGCCGCGUGAGUGAAGAAGGCCCUAGGGUUGUAAAGCUCUUUCAGCGGGGAAGAUAAUGACGGUACCCGCAGAAGAAGCCCCGGCUAACUUCGUGCCAGCAGCCGCGGUAAUACGAAGGGGGCUAGCGUUGUUCGGAAUUACUGGGCGUAAAGCGCGCGUAGGCGGACAUUUAAGUCAGGGGUGAAAUCCCGGGGCUCAACCUCGGAACUGCCUCUGAUACUGGGUGUCUGGAGUUCGGGAGAGGUGAGUGGAAUUGCGAGUGUAGAGGUGAAAUUCGUAGAUAUUCGCAGGAACACCAGAAGCGAAGGCGGCUCACUGG